rnacentral:lncRNA from 1 species
GUGUGCUACUAAUUAUCUUCAAAGGUGUUUGUUUUGAGCUUGCAGGUUCCCUAUUGAAAUAAAUGAAAUUGCUUCAAUCACAAAAGUGAAAAGUGCCAAUUAUGGAAGCAUACCACAAGAAAGGGAUAAGAAAUUAUUUUUGUUUAUGCCUUGUUAAAUUCUAUUCAUUGUGAAUUUCAAGUAAUUGAUUGUGAUGGCUCAAGGGUUCUUUCAUUUCUAAAAGUUCUUUUAGAUAUGGCCACUUUUUAAAAAAGUACUUGACUUUCAGGGACCAAAAUGAAAUUUUCCAAAAGAAGUGAUUUUGAAAUUAUUUUUCAUCAAAAUGAAAGAUCUAAAAAUAUAGGUUGCAAAAGUUCAAACGGUUUGAAAAAAGGAUUUUUACAGCCUAAGUUAUGAUUUUUCAAAGAUUUAAAGAAUUAUUUUUUUGCCCCCCUAAAGUCAUUUUUCGGCUUCCGAAAGUCAGGGACAGAAACGAAAGUCCCCUAUGUUCGGCCGCCGAACAUUGACUUUCGGCCGCCGAAGGUG